UAAACGAGGUGUGUUACAGGUUACAACUUCCUACUUAUUAUUGUAUUAACCCCUCGUUUCAUGUGUCUCUCCUCAGGCCGGUGGUGGCUGGUCCCCUUCAAGAAGGUGAGGUGCCUGAGGUCCCUCCGCCCCCUCUGGACAUCGAGUCAAUGGACAUAGCGAGUCAUAAUCUCAAGAUUUGGCUUUCUUUACUUGGCUACAGGGGUAGCGAGCAAAACACCAGCGUUCAGCGACCAGCUUGAGCGGUGGUACGCUGAAGUAAGAGCACUGGCUUUUGGAAAAACCUGCGGACUACCGGGCGAGCAAAGAGAGAGAGACAGCCUACCGCUGGUUCGGUCGAGCAGAGAGCACGAUCUCCGGCGGCUGAAGAGUGGUUCUUGAAUCGGCCAGAUACUGUUCCAUCCUCUUUUCUGCCAAUCAAGCAAAGAUGAGGACAACACCCAAACUGGCACGAUAACAGCGCCGUAUAAGAAGAGGACCCAAUUGUUCCAAAAGGCCCUGAUUUUGCUCCGCCGCGGUCCGCGCGGAGGCUGCCGCAGCUGUGGACAGCAACAGGUGGUAAGCACUCUAUGUUUUGCUCAUAGUAAAACCCCUCAGAUAAUAUAUUUUGAUAUCUUUGUGAAAUGACACGCUCUUCCUGG
rnacentral:lncRNA from 1 species